UGAUGAGUUAUUCUGUACUUUUGUAGAGUACAAAUUAAUUAUUCUGAAACAAGAAUGUUAUUGACAGUGAUUUCAAAAUUGCAGUAAGCGAAGCGAUUGUU